UGAUAAUGGGGGGGUAGCCUGACGGGCAUACCGCGUGAGGGAGGAAGGCUCUUGGGUCGUAAACCUCUUUUCUCAAGGAAGAAGAAAGUGACGGUACUUGAGGAAUAAGCAUCGGCUAACUCCGUGCCAGCAGCCGCGGUAAUACGGAGGAUGCAAGCGUUAUCCGGAAUGAUUGGGCGUAAAGGGUCUGCAGGUGGAACUGAAAGUCUGCUGUUAAAGAGUUUGGCUUAACCAAAUAAAAGCGGUGGAAACUACAGAACUAGAGUGCGGUAGGGGCAAAAGGAAUUCCUGGUGUAGCGGUGAAAUGCGUAGAUAUCAGGAAGAACACCGGUGGCGAAAGCGUUUUGCUAGACCGUAACUGACACUGAGGGACGAAAGCUAGGGGAGCGAAUGGGAUUAGAUACCCCAGUAGUCCUAGCCGUAAACGAUGGAUACUAGGCGUGGCUUGUAUCGACCCGAGCCGUGCCGGAGCUAACGCGUUAAGUAUCCCGCCUGGGGAGUACGCACGCAAGUGUGAAACUCAAAGGAAUUGACGGGGGCCCGCACAAGCGGUGGAGUAUGUGGUUUAAUUCGAUGCAACGCGAAGAACCUUACCAAGGCUUGACAUCCUGCGAAUCCUGGUGAAAGCUGGGAGUGCCUUAGGGAGCGCAGAGACAGGUGGUGCAUGGCUGUCGUCAGCUCGUGUCGUGAGAUGUUGGGUUAAGUCCCGCAACGAGCGCAACCCUCGUUUUUAGUUGCCAGCAUUAAGUUGGGCACUCUAGAGAGACUGCCGGUGACAAACCGGAGGAAGGUGAGGAUGACGUCAAGUCAGCAUGCCCCCUUACGUCUUGG
rnacentral:rRNA from 1 species